UGUAGUCCGAGGACAAACUGCCAACAACGAAUCCCGAAGAGCCGAACAGGCACACGAGACCACGAUACGCGGUCCGAUAUGAACAGCCCCGCAGAUGAGGAAAGUAGGUAUAUACGCACGCUUAGACGCAACAGGCAAAAUAGGACUGCCCCACCCACACAGGUUGCGAUCCCUGCCGCAUGUAAACGGCACAUAAAAUCGACGGUGACGCACGCGUACCAAGAGUUUCGGAGCCACCCCGCAAGUGACACGUUCUGUCACUUCAGUAUCACGCGCACGCUCGCAUACAGGCGUCGGAAGGAGCAAGCAGAGUAUUUCUGCUUUUAUUUUUACGAUAUAAAGCCUCCUCGCUCAUUCUUUUCUUGUUUCGAGAAAAAGUGGCCGGGGGCUCCGGGCCUCAUCCGAGCGGCGACGUCGGUGACCCAAACAGCUUUCGCUCCGAGUCGACUUCCCGCUGCGACAGAGGAGCCACUUCUUUGGGACGCGACGAGCGCGACGAUUAACCGCUGAGCAGAAAGCAUGCCCCCCCCUCUUUUUAUUUUUCCCCCCUCACUUUCGGUUGCCCCAUAUUGACAACAACCGCGUUGCGCGGCCUCUUCCUCUUUCACGAGUUUCUAAUUUCCGCAGUUUCGUCGAGAUUCGAAUCGAAGUGAUAUUUUCUUCCUUCUUGGCUCUCUCGUAAACGCGUAUACUGCGAGCCGUCUGAAACUUAUUUUUCUGCCCCCCUUCUCGCUCUGUACUUCGAGAGGGAUGUAUCGCGACGAAGUCAGUGGGGCAACUUCCGCAGGUUCGGGCCACUUCCGCUCCCGCUUCCUCCCAGUCCAUUCCCAUAAGCUGCGCGCGGCACGUUUGGGGUCGUCACUGGGGCGACGCUCUCUCGGCUUCAUUCGGGGUAGGGGGUCCGAUAAGCGCAUCGAUGUCGCGGCUGCUCCUUCGAGAGCGCCGUCCCGCGCGCUGUAUCUCGGCGGGCAGCAUUGAGCCAGGUCUGUAUAGGCGAGCAAAAGGAUACACAUGGUUUCUGUAAAACAACGCAGCAUUGGGAAAUGUACGGGCGCUUUCGGUUAAGUUACUAGAGGCAGGGGUGGGACUCCUGCGCCAAACAUUUUGAUACAAACGCAGAUUCCUGCGCCAAACUGCGCCACACACAGAAAAAUUGGAGGACGCUUAAGCUUUGCCUUUAAGAGUAGAACGCGAUAGCGUUACCGGGACUCGUUCGCAUUGCAUCGUUCGCAUCCGGCAAGUAGGCUUCAUUCACUGCAACACAGAACGUGGGAAAGCCAGCUUACAAAGACCAAGCUUACACCGAUCCCCUUAAAGUCGGAUUCACUAUUAAACAAAUGCAUUGCUGGGAAGGUGUUUUUCCAGGUGCAAUAUAAGUCGUCUUAUAUUAAAAUGUGAAGGCCCUAGGGCCUUUUUCAUCAUUUUAUUAAUGGUUUGCUAUUGCCCCGAUGCGCGCGCGUGUCCAAAACGCAUUAGGCAGGCCAAGUCUCAAUUUGACCUGCCGAGGAUGCGAGCGCCAUCUGGAUAAUAUUUUGGCAAGUAGCCCACCCGAGCGCGCGGUAGCCUACCCGGUAGAAAUUCUGGCAAAAGGGGUUUGUGUUUGCGUUUCCUCGUAACAGAAUUAUGUUUUCGCGUACAUUCAAAUAAUUAACAGUCCGACGCCACCAUGUCUGUAGGUUGUGCUUAAGUUGUACUUUACCAUUUUUCUGACUCAUUUCACUGUGAGAAAUUAAAUUUUUGUUCACUAACACCUUGCACCAUGACAAAGGGCCUGCGCGGUCUGGGUGGUGCGGAAUGAUUUUCUGCUUCCUUGACACCUUGCGCCACGCGGUGGGCCUGUGCGGUCGGGGUGGUUGCGGAUGAUUUUAUCCGCCAAGGACGCCGACAUCCACGCCGACGCCGGAUUUCCUGCGACACGGGGCCCUUAACGCUAUCGCGUUAAAAUUGACCGAAAUUGCGCCAUGCUGCGCCAGAACGGCUUCGGCAUGUGUGCUCUGGCAAUGGCUGCGAACAGCGAGCGGAUUGGUUCUUCGAAAAAGAGUGCAGCCGUUCGCAUUCCGCGCACCGCGCGACGGCGCCUCCCGCACAGUUUCUCGUAAUUUUCGCGCUUAUAACACUGGACUUUUCGGCGCUUCCGGCAAGUGGCCGGCGCGCAUUCGGCCACUCCCGGCUGUUGUUGCUGUUGUCGGAACGGCACGGGCGGUUGUAUUUAGAGUGUGUUAGAAUACGGUUGAGUGGGACGAGCGGCGCGGCAGCAGCAGCCAGUGAAUUGACCUUCGCGCUGUCUCUCGCUUCAACACGAACUAAGCGGAGAAAACACAGCGCACACGAUGCUAUCAGAACUCGCACUCUCAAAUCAAUCAAUCGAUUGAUCGAUCAAUCAAUCAGUCAUUUAUUUGCCGUGCCCAGGAACAACCAUAAGGUCUGAUUGCUGGCGCACGCAUUCAUAAAAAAACAACAAAAAACGAGGGGAAUAUAAUGAUAAUAAUAAUAAUAAUAAGGAUAAAUAUAUUUUCGUGCCUUCGCCGGCAUAUUGUGGGUUCGGAAUAGCUUAUUUCGAGCGUUAGCAAGCAUCAUGUCGUGAUAUCCACACCGUUGCACGGUUUCAGUGUGACGCGGAACAGCAUAG